rnacentral:lncRNA from 1 species
GGGUCGGCUACGGAGUGGCCCUGGGGCCCUCGCUUUGAAUCUCCCAAACCGGAUCAAACUCAGGACCUUGUGCUUGCAAGGCAGGCACUGGAACCACUGAGCUAAAUCCCCGGCUCUGAUGACUACAAUGUCUUGCCCAAGGCAGUGUCCCCCACGAGUCCGGCCAGAGGCCCAGAGCCCACGGCAGGGUCCCAUGCAAGUCCACAUUGAGCAUCUGCACCGGGAAGGCCCGAAGGCCACUGGUGGAAGCCAGAAAUCCUGUGGCACCAGCCUGAGGGGGCUCAAGGCGAAGAGCAGAGCUCCCCCGACAAGAACAGCAGCCAUCCCCGGCGACAGGGGGGACUCGAGCUCCUCCUCUGACAAUGAGAACAGCGGAGUUCGCACCAGGAAAACCAGCCGCGGCAAAGCCUCCCAGGAGCAUCAACAGCAUUCGAUCUUCACCUCCGGUUCUCCUUUUAUGCGGUUGGCAGCAGUCCUCAGGCGGGUCUUCCGCACCCAGAACCGUGCUGGCUCGGUUCAGCUGGGCCUUCCAGGAAGCUGACCGUUAGUCCUCCACACUACCUGAGUAUCACUUCGAAAGCUGAAAUAAGAUGCCUG